UGAGAUGAGUUUUCCCUGGCGCUAUAAGCGUCCUAAAGGGUUGUCGUAGACUACGACGUUGAUAGGCAGGGUGUGUAAGUGCUGCGAGGCAUUGAGCUAACCUGUACUAAUUGCCCGUGAGGCUUAACCAUACAACACCCAAGGGGUUU
rnacentral:rRNA from 1 species